rnacentral:lncRNA from 1 species
GAGGAACCUUCUCUUUCAUUGAAACAGAAGGUGUAAUCCAGGAUGCAUUUGCUCAGUGCAUUGGUGGACUUUUGAGUGUUGUGGUCAAGGACCUGCAGGUGAAUAUUGAGUGUGUUGAUCCAAGAGUCAGUCUUGGUUCCUUAAAAGCUGGAAGCUACCCCAAUCGUGUGAUGUCGGAUGGAUGCAUGGGAACUAUUGAUGUUGGCGACCUGUAUGCUGAUGAGGAACGAGACUUUCUAGUUUCAGUUAAUGUCCCAACUGAAAUUUCAAGCUCUGAAACUGCAUUGAUAAGGGUGAAAUGUGUUUACAAUGAUCCUUUGACAAAAGGCUCGGUGACUGUUGGAAGUGAUGAAGUUAGGAUUAGAAGACCUGAUGAAGCUGGACAACAAAGUGCAUCAGUUGAAGUGGAUAGGCAACAGAACAGGCUGCGUGCGGCUGAGGCGAUGCUCCUAGCGCGAACUACGGCUGAGAAAGGAGACCUGUCUGGUGCAGCAUCUAUUCUUGAAAACUGUCGCAAGGUGUUGUCAGAAACUGUUUCGGCCAAGUCUCAUGAUCGGCUCUGCAUUGCACUUGAUGCUGAGCUUAAAGAAAUGCAAGAGAGACUGGCAAGCAGACAUGUGUAUGAAGCAUCAGGAAGGGCAUAUAUUCUUUCAGGACUAAGCUCACACUCAUGGCAGAGAGCAACAGCACGAGGUGACUCGACGGAUGGUUCAAGCCUGGUUCAGGCCUAUCAAACCCCGUCAAUGACCGAGAUGCUGAAUCGGUCUCAGGCUUCCCUACUAGGUAGUUCUUCAGCUCAGAGGCUCAUUCGACCUGUUUUAUCAUUUGCAUCACAUCCAAAGCCAAGGUGACCUUGCGACACCAAGAUAUGGAGUUUUCUCAAAGAUAACUGUUUUUCAUUGGUCUCCUUGAUGCUAUAGCUGUGCUUAUUUGUGUUUUGGGCCGGGGAAAAGUUAAUAGGUAAGAAACAGUUUUGGGUGUCAUUAUCUUCCUGUCUCAAUUAUGUAAAGCAAUAAACAUUGGUGAAGCGUGGAAAGUAUAAUGGGGUCAAGGUAAGGGGUAAACGGAGUAGGAUAAUCCAACUUUUGCUUUUUGUUGUUUCUUUUUCACCUUGUGGGUAUCAUUGGGGGUGGUGUACAUAAGGAAAGAUGGAUUUUCAUCUGAGAGAGAAGCCGGUAUAAGUUUGUAAUUGUGGAAAUAUUUUGUGAACUGCGCAGCUAUUACAUAAGAAUGUGAUUCUUUCACGGAGUUUUAAUAAUCAUGCAGUGGUAUGACUGGUACUAAUUCUUCAGCCACUUGAUAAAAUGGACUCUCUCUUUACGCAACUGAGAUCAUGAUAAGCAUGCAAAAAGUCACUCAAGAUGGUAUGGUACUACUAUCAUGGGAUGGAAAAGAUGAAACAUAUAUUAUUGUUUAAUUUUAGGAAAAGAUGAACUUCAAAGUUGACCUUCCGUGGAGACUUGUGCUUCUCCUCAUUCAUUACUAGUCCAGAGAACAAAAGCUAGCACUACAGUGCUUUGACAUUGCACCGGAUUGUUGCCAAGAAAUACACUACUGUACUGUCCUACUGUACUGUAAAAGAUGGUGUGGUGCAUUAUUCUAAACGGUCCAUACCCUUUUCCAGCCUCUCAAUUGACUUUAAAAACUUUGGGGAUUGAUAAAGAUGGUCAUGAUCCUUUAUUUUUUUCAUGAUCCUUUAUUGAUUCACUUUUUUGUUGCAUGAAAUGUCUCAUAACGUAGAAAGCUUUAAAAAAAUAUUGGGUACUCUUUAGCUUUUUGUUCCGUUACGUCUUUUCAUACGAUAAGGGGAAAUUAAUUCUUAUCUUUGCCGCGGGCGGGCUCACAUAUCAGAUUAUUAUGUGCGAGAAUAGGCAGCUUUACUGAUUGCGAGCAAAGAUUGAAUAUCAUCAGGUCAGCAACUGUGGCAAUCUCAAAGCUCCAGCUCCAAAUUCCAGUGAGAACAUGAGUAGAAACCAGGCAAGUUCACCCCAAGUUUCCCAAACAUCUCGUGCACCUGUUGACCUUGUCACGGUUCUAGAUGUCAGUGGCAGCAUGGCAGGUACCAAGCUUGCAUUGCUCAAGCGAGCUAUGGGGUUUGUGAUACAGAACCUUGGUCCCAAUGACAGGCUUGCAGUAAUUGCCUUCUCAUCAACCGCCCGCCGGUUGUUUCCCCUUCGUAGGAUGUCUGAAACAGGACGGCAGCAAGCACUGCAAGCUGUUAACUCUUUAGUUGCAAAUGGAGGGACAAACAUUGCUGAAGGCUUGCGCAAGGGUGCCAAGGUAAUGGAAGAUCGCAGAGAAAAGAACCCUGUUGCCAGUAUUAUAUUGCUAUCUGAUGGGCAAGAUACAUAUACAGUUAGUAACAUGGGGAGCAGUCAACAGCAACCAAAUUACCAACUUCUUCUUCCAUUGUCUAUCCACAAUGAAAGUAGUUCUAAUUUUAAGAUUCCAGUGCAUGCUUUUGGGUUCGGGGCAGACCAUGAUGCUUCAUCAAUGCACUCAAUCUCAGAGAUAUCUGGAGGAACCUUCUCUUUCAUUGAAACAGAAGGUGUAAUCCAGGAUGCAUUUGCUCAGUGCAUUGGUGGACUUUUGAGUGUUGUGGUCAAGGACCUGCAGGUGAAUAUUGAGUGUGUUGAUCCAAGAGUCAGUCUUGGUUCCUUAAAAGCUGGAAGCUACCCCAAUCGUGUGAUGUCGGAUGGAUGCAUGGGAACUAUUGAUGUUGGCGACCUGUAUGCUGAUGAGGAACGAGACUUUCUAGUUUCAGUUAAUGUCCCAACUGAAAUUUCAAGCUCUGAAACUGCAUUGAUAAGGGUGAAAUGUGUUUACAAUGAUCCUUUGACAAAAGGCUCGGUGACUGUUGGAAGUGAUGAAGUUAGGAUUAGAAGAC